rnacentral:rRNA from 1 species
UACCCCGGUAGUCCCAGCUGUAAAUAAUGCGGACUGUGGUGUUGCUUCAGAGUUAAUCUGCAGCAGUGCUGUAGCGUAGGUGUUAAGUCCGCCGCCUGGGGAGUACGGCCGCAAGGUUGAAACUUAAAGGAAUUGGCGGGGGAGCACCACAAGGGGUGGAUGCUACGGUCUAAUUGGAUACAACGCCGUGAACUUCACCAAGGGCGACGGCAGAAUGAAGGCCAGACUAAAGAUCUUGCCUAACAAGCCGAGAGGUGUUGCAUGGCCAUCGUCAGCUCGUGGCGUGAGUUGUCUGGUUAAGUCCAGCGACGAGCGAGACCCAUACCAUUAAUUGCUACUUUUACCUUUAGUAAGAGGCACCUUAAUGGGACUGCCCGCGUUAAGUGGGAGGAAGGAGUGGGCGACGGUAGGUCAGUAUGGCCCGAAUCCCUUGGGCUACACGCGGCAUACAAUGGCUGGAACAAUGGGUUGCUACUCCGAAAGGAGGCGCUAAUCCCCUAAAUCCAGUCUUAGUUCGGAUUGAGGGUUGAAACUCACCCUCAUGAAGCUGGAAUCCCUAGUAAUCGCGUGUCA